rnacentral:rRNA from 1 species
CCUACGGGAGGCACCAGUGGGGAAUAUUGCACUAUGGGCGCAAGCCUGAUGCAGCCAUGCCGUGUGUAUGAAGAAGGCCUUCGGGUUGUAAAGUACUUUCAGCGGGGAGGAAGACGAUAAGGUUAAUAACCUUGUCGAUUGACGUUACCCGCAGAAGAAGCACCGGCUAACUCCGUGCCAGCAGCCGCGGUAAUACGGAGGGUGCAAGCGUUAAUCGGAAUUACUGGGCGUAAAGCGCACGCAGGCGGUCUGUCAAGUCGGAUGUGAAAUCCCCGGGCUCAACCUGGGAACUGCAUUCGAAACUGGCAGGCUGGAGUCUUGUAGAGGGGGGUAGAAUUCCAGGUGUAACGGUGAAAUGCGUAGGGAUCUGGAGGAAUACCGGUGGCGAAGGCGGCCCCCUGGACAAAGACUGACGCUCAGGUGCGAAAGCGUGGGGAGCAAACAGGAUUAGAUACCCCUGUAGUC